AAGCUAGGUUCGAUCAUAGAGCCAUCAUGUAACAAAUCAUUUUAUUAGCGAAAUCUCAGAAAAAAUGAAAACUUGAAUCAACCAAGAUCUGAAUAUUUGCCAAGUAUUGUUUUAUUAACUUGAUCUGGUUUUCACUAGUUAAAAAAUUACAAAGCUCCCAAGCUUAGCUGGGCAGAUAUUUAAUUUACCACGGAUGAAUAUUUUCAAACGAAUUACCAAAUACUGACAGAUAAUAUGGCUCUAGCAAGUAGACCUCGGUUGUACUGCAAACAUUUUGAUCACCGCGGCCGGUGUAUCGAUGAAGAAGCUAGACCAAAUUUAUUUCGUAGAACCUAGUAAGGAGCUGGUGUACAAACUUACUUAAAUAUGCUUAUAUAUAAAUAUGUACAAAUAUUGCGAAUAUAUAAAUAAUAUUGUAUAUAGAAUAAUAUUUGGUGAACUAUGGUGUAUACGAUUAAAUCAAUUAAAUAAAGAAUGAAAUAAAUAUGCAUUUACUAA